AGAUCAAGAAGGCAUUUAAAAUAGUGAGAUUUUCUUGGGUUUGUCUCUCCAGGAUUAGAAUCUGAUGGAUUGCCUACAACACACUUCUCCAGUUCUCCAGCCUCCUAGGGACCUGCAGAGGUCCCUCUAUCCCAGGACCUUGAGCUGCUCCACUCUAUACCGAAAUUUGCUAACGUUCUGUCCUGGAACAGAAGGAGAUGGAUUCUUCAGUUCAGGCUUUGACGUUUGUCUCUUCAGGACUCCAGGAAUUUCUUCCCGGUCUGACGCAGAGAAACUCGCCUAAGGACCAAGCAGAAAUAGGGACCUACACCCAAUUGGUUUAUUCAAAACCCUGGGUUAAAUCUAUUUGAAAUUUGAUAUUAAACCUUUGUCUCUUCUGGCCAUGUUUCAAAAAGGCAUCUUUACAGAAACUCUCAGGUUAUCUUCAUCCUAGAAGGAAAAAUGCCCACAGUGUACCUCCUAUAGUAAAUGCUUGGAAGAGAAUAUAAUGACAUCUCAUAAUACAACAGUCAUUUAAAGACCCAAAAUAGGCAUAUGCCCCAGUGUCAUAAUUACUGAGUCUCUCUAGGCAUUUACUUAUGAGCUAAGCUCAACGCAUGGAUUCAAAGUUCAUUUCAGGUCGCCUGUUUCAACUGCAGUAAAAAAGAUCUCUGUGAGGCCAUUUGGUACUUUUCCUUUGCAUUUCUCCUCCCUCAUCCAAAUAGGAAGAGAAGGAGUCAAGAUGAACACAAAAUUGGAGGCUUGGGAGAGAGUGAGAGAAUUAACAAGCUAAUCUUUCAAUAGGAUCCUUUGGGAUUCAGAAAACAGAAAAGAAAACGAAUUAGAGAUGCACGCACCUAAGGACAAGCCUGCAGAAGCCCCGAAAUAGGGUAUCCUCCGUGAUGCCUCCAAAUCCCCCAAGAGGCGACGCCCCACACAGGGCAAAAUGGUCUGGAGCCUGCGAGGUACCUUUCCUCCCUGGAUGCAUUCAGCCCUACCCCACUGGGCUCCGAGGUCAGGGAUCGCUGCGACCAAAAUCAGCCUCUGUGCUCCGAAGCCGCAAGGCUCAGCCCGGAUCCACUCGGGGAGAGGCAGGCCAGAGGGCGGCCUUGCAGCCUGGGAACCGUUUCCAGGGAGGAGAAGCUAGAGGAUACUGCAGAGAGUGCAUUUUUCCUCUCCAAGAGGAACUUUAGGGGGAGAAGAGACAAAAGAGGAGACGCCUAAAUCACCGAGAAAAGGAAAAAGGAGGGAAGAGAAACGUUAAAAGUUGGGGAAAAGGUGCUUUUUGGGAUCCGACAGGUUCCCGAAUUGUCGGAAGUCCAAUUCUCUCCAGGCUCCCAAAUUUCCCCUCUUCCUCUUGGAGCCUGCAAUCAGUAAAUUCGCCAAAAGAAAGAACGAAAGAUCCUCCUAAACCUGCCGGCGUGCCCCCACCCCAGGUCUGCAGCGGUUGAGGUGACUGCGGCGGUGUGGCCGGCGGCGCGUAAUGUAUGCUGCAGCGGCUCGGAGCCCCACGUAGGCCGGCGCUGCUGCCCCCGUCUGCUGACCUCUGCAUGAUCCCGGACUCUAUGAAUUAUUGAUGAGAUAUGAGCGUUGAUUUCCCCUUUCAGGAUGCAAACUCCAUUAUAUUGUUAAAAUGGCGAUUUAAUCGUU
ensembl:lncRNA